AUACCCAGCCCCCUGGGAUUGCCUCUCAAUUACACUGUACGUAUCUUGUGUAUACAUAUGGAACACCGUCCUGGCCAAUGAGGACUCAGUCCUGGAAGCAUGAGCUCUCAAGUGAACCUGCUUUGGAAAAUGCCUGAUGAUAUGGCAUGGAGAGGCCCUGAUCUCCAUUUCAGAUGUCCUUUGGGUGACCCCAGGAUCUCUUUGGAGAUUAGGCCUGGCUAUGUUAAAAGGAAGAAAAUACAAAUGCCACCAAGAAAGGUAAUCACAACCUUUAUUUAAAACAUGAAAACGAACCAAAGAUGAGAAGAUGACUGUGAUUAGGAGCGGCCCUGAUGAAUUCCCUGAUGCAUCGUCUUUCUUCCCACCCACAAUUUGAAGAGGCUCUACCAAAAAGAAGACAAAGCUGUUAGACAAAUCCCUGGAGGCAUUCCCUUUUUAAAAAUGUUUUUUAAAUUUUUUCCAAUUACAUAUAAAAAAACAAUUUUUAUCAUUCAUUUUUUCAAGUUUUGAGUUCCAAAUUUUCUCCCUCCUUCUUUCCCUUUCAAAAGGCAAGCAAUUUGAUAUAGGUUAUACAUAUAUAGUCAUGUAAAACAUAUUUCCACAUUAGUCCUGUUGUGAAAAAAAAUCACAGACAAAAAAAAAAAGAGAAAUAAAGGAAGUAAAAAAGAGUAUGCUUCA
rnacentral:lncRNA from 1 species